UGCGGGGUAGAGCAAGCGGAAGCUCACUAGCCCCAUAAGCUAGAGGUUGCCGGUUCGAGUCCGGUCCCCGCUACCA
rnacentral:tRNA from 1 species